rnacentral:lncRNA from 1 species
AUUGUUUUUUUUUAAUUUUGUUUAUUUAUUUGUCUAUCUUAUUUCUAUACAAUUGUCGUAUUUAUUAUUGUUAUUUGUUAUUGCGACAUUUAUACACGCAUUCAAUAUAACAUUACAUCUUUUUUUUACUCGAUUUUAAAAUUUUCAAAAUUGAGAUAAUGCUUGUAUUUAGGAUUUUCAAGGAAAUUGAGCCCUAACG